rnacentral:lncRNA from 1 species
GCAGUACCCAAGCUUCACAGCCCUGUCUCUGCCAUGGAGAGCAGGCCCACACACUGCUGCCUGCUGGAGCAACCGUGCUGGUCACAGGGCCAGAGGCAGAGAGCCCUAACAAGCAGUCAGGGCGCUAAUGAGGAAGGGGGGACAACCUGUCCUCUACAGAAAAUAAUGAGAUUAAUAUGUUCAACAACUCCCAUCCAGAAUCCAGCAGGAAGUUAAACCAAACGACACAUGAUUCUCUGACGAAGAAAUAAGAAUACGGUUGACUGGUUUUUUAUAUUUAUUUACCUGAAAGCUUCUAAUGUUUCUAACUAGUGACAUAUUUCAGGCCAGGAAUUCUGUUUGCCUAGAUCAUGAUGUCUAAACACUGCACACUUGACCAACUUUGGAUCCAAAUAACUAGCUUUGUAUGCUCUUGGGCCCUGCAGUACGGCUCUGCUUCAGUGGUUUCCAGCCCUGAUAGGCACUAGGAUUACCAGAGGAAUUUUUAAAAUACCAAUGGGGGUUGGGGAUUCCCGUCAUCAGUGCUAAAGGCUACCAGGUGAAUGUAAUGUGUAGCCGGGGUUUGGAACCAGUGGGUCAGACAUCAAUCCUGACAGUACCACGGAGGCAGACUGUUCCCCAGGCCAGAUCUCUCAGCAGCUUGACAGCGCUUUAAAGAAAUCAUGCACUCGAUUAAGAUGAAGGGAUCACUAUUUCUGCAUGCUCUAAACAGAAAGAUAAAUAAGCUGCCCAAGAGGUGCUCAGCCAAAACCUGGGAACGGCUUAUAGAGGGCACAGUUCCCACAGUCAACAGUGAGAGCUGAAAGUUUCCCUUUCUAGAGCCACAAGCUGCACUUCUAGAUUUGCACUGGGGUAUGAACUGGACUGAGCUCUCUGGGGGAUCCUCCGGGUUCUAACAUUGCCACCUGGUAGGUAAUCCUUUCAGAAGUGAGUACCUGUCCCCACUCCAGCUAAUGCAGACGGUCAGCACUGGAGACCACACAAGACCACAGCAGCUGGGAGACAGGUGAGAGAUUUACCAGGACAGGGAGCUACCUGAGUGUGUUCCUGAAGUUUUCCCAGGUGUAUCAGCUGCAGGUAUCUUUUUCCUAACCAGGUCCAUCACAAUUUUCUCCAUAAAGUUUUGUACCUUUCACACACAUACACACACACACACACCCCACCCCAUCCCAUACAAAAAGUUUAAAGAAGUUUCUGGCAUGAAAAUAUGCCCUCUUCUAGCUGAGACAGAGCACUUACUAGCACUGGAUCCCAUCCCACUCAACUUGCCUGCUGCAAACAUGGCGGCAAUACACAUCCUUUAGUCUGCUGCAAGGAGGUUCUGAAGAAAGCAGUCGCCCUUUACUAUUCGGUAAAGUCGUGUUAUAUUUUUAACGCACUGGAUUAAUCAGUCAAAUCUCAGACAUGACAGCAGGCUUCAUAAUCUUUUUUUCCUUUGUUAUUCUUAGCUCAACUUCCACAGCUGAGUAAGAAGUUUUUCACAUACUUACAAGAGUGUUAAAAAUUUUAUUCCUUCUCAGCAGGAGAGAGUUGGCCCUUCUUGUGACUUUGUCUCUGAUUCUUGGGCAAGUUGGCUUGGGAAUGCUACUGGGGAAAAACUCACUAAUCUUUCAUCAUCAUGAAAAAGCAACAAACAGAACAGGAACUCAAGUGAUUCAAAAUAAAAGGAAGGAGCCUGUCUAAAACAGUGGCAUGUUCAAGUAACAGACAAUCUUAAAUAAUGCAGCAAUUUUGUUACUCUGUCCAUUCUGUAUCCAAAAGAAUCUUCCAAAAUUAUAAUAAAUAAAAUGAUAUGGUCAACACUUUGCAACGUGCCAUUAUCAGCCUAUAUUACUCAAUGAGACACUAACCACAUGUU